rnacentral:tRNA from 1 species
GGAGAGGUGGCCGAGAGGUCUAAAGCGUCGGAUUGCUAAUCCGUUGUACAGUUUAUGUGUACCGAGGGUUCGAAUCCCUCUCUCUCCU